rnacentral:rRNA from 1 species
UGGUAGUGUAUUGGACUACCAUGGCAGUCACGGGUAACGGAGAAUUAGGGUUCGAUUCCGGAGAGGGAGCCUGAGAAACGGCUACCACAUCUAAGGAAGGCAGCAGGCGCGUAAAUUACCCAAUCCCGAUUCGGGGAGGUAGUGACAAGAAAUAGCAACUCGUGCGGGUUUCCGUUACGGGAUUGCAAUGAGACAAGUCCAAAUCCGUAAACGAUUAACAAUUGGAGGGCGAGUCUGGUGCCAGCAGCCGCGGUAAUUCCAGCUCCAAUAGCGUAUACUUAAGUUGUUGCAGUUAAAAAGCUCGUAGUUGAAAUUCGAGUCAGUUACUAGUUGGCUUUUCGUCAGUUAGUUAAUUGAUUCUCCGUCUACAAUCCCUUUUGCGCUUUAGGGUUGCAGCUGGGCGAGUAGACAAUUUACCUUGAAAAAAUUAGAGUGUUCCAGGCAGGUCUUCGCCGGAAUACAUUAGCAUGGAAUAAUGGAAUAGGACUUGGGUCUUUUGUUGGUUUUAGGACUUGAGUAAUGAUUAAUAGGGACAGAUGGGGGCAUUAGUAUUUAAUUGUCAGAGGUGAAAUUCUUGGAUUUAUUAAAGACUAACUUAUGCGAAAGCAUUUGCCAAGGAUGUUUUCAUUAAUCAAGAACGAAAGUUAGGGGAUCAAAGACAAUCAGA